rnacentral:rRNA from 1 species
GACGAACGCUGGCGGCGUGCUUAACACAUGCAAGUCGAACGGAAAGGCCCUGCUUUUGUGGGGUGCUCGAGUGGCGAACGGGUGAGUAACACGUGAGUAACCUGCCCUUGACUUUGGGAUAACUUCAGGAAACUGGGGCUAAUACCGGAUAGGAGCUCCUGCUGCAUGGUGGGGGUUGGAAAGUUACGGCGGUUGGGGAUGGACUCGCGGCUUAUCAGCUUGUUGGUGGGGUAGUGGCUUACCAAGGCUUUGACGGGUAGCCGGCCUGAGAGGGUGACCGGCCACAUUGGGACUGAGAUACGGCCCAGACUCCUACGGGAGGCAGCAGUGGGGAAUAUUGCACAAUGGGCGGAAGCCUGAUGCAGCAACGCCGCGUGCGGGAUGACGGCCUUCGGGUUGUAAACCGCUUUCGCCUGUGACGAAGCGUGAGCGACGGUAAUGGGUAAAGAAGCACCGGCUAACUACGUG